rnacentral:ncRNA from 1 species
AGGUCAUUGACAAAGUCACCUGAGCGGAGAGAACGGUCAGAUCGUAAAGACACCGUAAAAUCAUCCCUGAUGGCUCGAGCCGCGCCAUCCCUGGCGCGGACGCUUU